GGACAUCAGGGCGAUCUGGCUGUGAUAUCUGUCACCCCAUUGGUUGCCAGGGUUGACUCUGCUGACCCAGCUGGCUAGGCAAGUGCCCCCUUCCUCCCUUACUGCUCGUCCCUCCCAAAGCUGAGCACUCCAUUAGGGAGGAUGGUCUUCCCAAAUACAGGAGGACUUCUCUUCAAUCAGGGGUAUAUAAGGAGCUGCACUCUCCUGCUAGAAUCUCCAAACAAUCUCUCAAGAAAGCAAAAGCAGCUUAGCACACUCUCAUACUGGAGACUCUCCAUGCUCAUCAGGAGAGGUUCUGG
rnacentral:snRNA from 1 species